rnacentral:rRNA from 1 species
AUUGAACGCUGGCGGCAGGCUUAACACAUGCAAGUCGAACGGUAACAUAAAGAAGCUUGCUUCUUUGAUGACGAGUGGCGGACGGGUGAGUAAUGCUUGGGAAUCUAGCUUAUAGAGGGGGAUAACUACGGGAAACUGUAGCUAAUACCGCGUAGUAUCGAGAGAUGAAAGUGUGGGACCUUCGGGCCACAUGCCAUAGGAUGAGCCCAAGUGGGAUUAGGUAGUUGGUGAGGUAAAGGCUCACCAAGCCGACGAUCUCUAGCUGGUCUGAGAGGAUGACCAGCCACACUGGGACUGAGACACGGCCCAGACUCCUACGGGAGGCAGCGGUGGGGAAUAUUGCGCAAUGGGGGCAACCCUGACGCAGCCAUGCCGCGUGAAUGAAGAAGGCCUUCGGGUUGUAAAGUUCUUUCGGUAGCGAGGAAGGCA